rnacentral:rRNA from 1 species
UUAGGAAUUUUGCGCAAUGGGGGAAACCCUGACGCAGCCACGCCGCGUGCGGGAUGAAGGCCUUCGGGUCGUAAACCGCUUUUCUCGAGGAAGAAGCUCUGACGGUACUCGAGGAAUAAGCAACGGCUAACUACGUGCCAGCAGCCGCGGUAAUACGUAGGUUGCGAGCGUUGUCCGGAUUUACUGGGCGUAAAGCGCGCGCAGGCGGUCCUGAAAGUCGAAUGUGAAAGCUCCCGGCCCAACUGGGAGAGGCCGUUCGAAACUUCGGGACUUGAAGGCGGGAGAGGCAGAUGGAAUUUCCGGUGUAGCGGUAAAAUGCGUAGAUACCGGAAGGAACACCAGUGGCGAAAGCGAUCUGCUGGCCCGCCCUUGACGCUCAGGCGCGAAAGCCAGGGGAGCGACC